AACGAACGCUGGCGGCAGGCCUAACACAUGCAAGUCGAGCGGACCCUUCGGGGUUAGCGGCGCACGGGUGCGUAACGCGUGGGAAUAUGCCCUUCUCUUCGGAAUAGUCCUGGGAAACUGGUGCUAAUACCGUAUACGCUCUUCGGGGGAAAGAUUUAUCGCGGUGGGAUUGGCCCGCGUUGGAUUAGGUAGUUGGUGGGGUAAUGGCCUACCAAGCCGACGAUCCAUAGCUGGUUUGAGAGGAUGAUCAGCCACACUGGGACUGAGACACGGCCCAGACUCCUACGGGAGGCAGCAGUGGGGAAUCUUAGACAAUGGGCGCAACCCUGAUCUAGCAAUGCCGCGUGAGUGAUGAAGGCCUUAGGGUUGUAAAGCUCUUUCAGCUGGGAAGAUAAUGACGGUACCGGCAGAAGAAGCCCCGGCUAACUCCGUG
rnacentral:rRNA from 1 species